AUUGAACACAACUCGAGACUUUCGAAACCUCCCACUCAGUAUCGGAUGAAUAACACAGUUUGAUGUUUUGCUUGUUCUGCUGACGGACACGUUAAAGACGUCUGCGCUCCCGUUUCUGUGCAUGUCCAGCAUGAGACAACUGGAAUUCAACCACAUUGAACACCGACUUCAGGGACAGACGAGCCUGAAGGACACAGCUGUGAUGACCAUGUUCUGUCUCUUAUGGCAAAGCAGAAAUAUAAAACACUGGGUUCUUAUCUAAAGUGUAUCAAAUCAGAUCUCCACCAUGUUGCUGCUGAGGACAUCAGGUGCUGCAGUUCUUCAUCUAUGAAGAGAAAAAACGCACUGUUAAAGAAUGUUUUGUGUUGUGUAUAAAGCACAACAGAUUUCUGAUAGAACUGUUGUACUGUGGUCUUGGUUUAUAUCCUCAUGGUGAAAUGUACAUAUUUUAAGUCCCUUCUGAUAAAAGUGCUGAAAGAAAUACAACAUUGUACAAAUACAUAAAAUGUCUUUCUACCUCAUCAGUACUAUUCAAGGUGAUAAUCUCCCACAGACCUAUUGAUAACAGUCCAAAUCAAGUCUUUCCACUUCUCUCAGUGUGAAAACAUAAUUCUAUAAUUAAUUUGAGAACUGUUUACAACACUGAUGUGUGGAGAUUAAAAUCAUACCUAAACUGUCUAAUUCACUGUAAAACUCCAUGACAUUCGCAGGCCAUCUGUAGUUAAGGGAGCAACGCAUGGAAUGAUGUGUAGAUUACUAGUUUGAUGAUGCAUGAGGAGAGGCGGUGGUCGAGUGGCAGAAACUUGGACUAUGGGCAGAGAAGGUCUCUGGUUCGUCUUUGG